rnacentral:tRNA from 1 species
GGGCCCGUAGCUCAGCACGGUAGAGCGGCAGGCUCCAGACCUGUAGGUCGGGGGUUCAAAUCCCUCCGGGCCCA